rnacentral:misc_RNA from 1 species
ACUACUUCUAUUGUGGUAGCUGAUGGUAGAAGGAUUUCUAAUUCCUUAAUUUGUCACAGAUUCACAUGGAAAAUUCAGAAUAACAAAUUUUCCUUUGACAUAAGGAUACUGGACCUUGGAGGCUUUGACAUUGUCUUAGGAGUGGAUUGGAUGAAAAGCUUCAACCCCAUUCUCUUUGAUUUUGAAGCUGCAAAGAUUUCUUUUAAGAAGGAUGGACAGUUAAUUACCCUUUAUGGGAAAGAGACAUUUGCUGAAGAAAUUCUAUUAUUGUCCUACAGCUCCUGUUCUUAAUUAAUGCGCAAGCAAGGUGCAGAUUUUACUACACCAGUAUUCUGCAUUCAGUUUCAAGCUUUUGAUUCAGUUGAGAAUCAUUGUAUGACUGCAACUUUGGGUGUAUCUCCUUCCUUAUCUUCUUUACAAUUACUGUUGCAAAAGUAUAGCAGUUUAUUUGAAGAACCUAAGGAUUUACCACCAUUUCGGACUCACAAUUAUGCAAUUCCUUUAAUACCUGGUUCUCAACCAGUAAAUGAGAGACCAUAUCGGUAUCCACACUAUCAGAAGGCUGAGAUAGAAAGGCUGGUGACUGAGAUGCUUGAUUCCUCUAUAAUUCAGCCUAGUAAGAGUCCCUUUGCAUCACCUGUGUUGUUAGUGAAAAAGAAAAACGGAUCAUGGAGAUUUUUUUAUAGAUUAUAGGAAGCUUAAUGACCUGACUGUUAGGAACAAGUUUCCCAUUCCCAUCAUUGAUGAUUUGCUGGAUGAGUUGCAUGGUGCAAAGUAUUUUUCGAAGAUUGACCUUAGAGCAGGGUACCAUCAAAUCAGAAUGGAACCUGUUGACAUUCAUAAGACUGCAUUUAGAACUCACCAUGGGCACUUUGAGUUUAAGGUAAUGCCAUUUGGGCUCACCAAUACACGUGUCACAUUUCAGACACUGAUGAAUCAUAUCUUUCAACCUUCUUAAGAAAGUUUGUUUUGGUUUUCUUUGAUGACAUAUUGGUGUACAGCAAGGAUAUGUAGUCUCAUUUACAACAUUUAGAAGAAGUUUUUAAAGUUUUACAACAGCAGCAACUUUAUGCCAAAAGAUCUAAAUGUUUCUUUGGGGAGACUGAAGUAGAGCAUCUUGGGCGUAUUAUUUCAGCACAGGGUGUAGCUACUGAUCCCAAA